rnacentral:rRNA from 1 species
GACGAACGCUGGCGGCGUGGAUUAGGCAUGCAAGUCGAACGGUAUCAUCCUUUCGGGGGUGAGAGAGUGGCGAACUGGUGAGUAGCACGUAGGUUAUCUACCCUCAAGACGGGGACAACCCAGGGAAACUUGGGCUAAUACCGGAUGUGAGCAACUUUUAGUUGUUUGAAAGGUGGCGUAAGCUGUCGCUUGGGGAUGAGCCUGCGUCCUAUUAGUUAGUUGGUGAGGUAACGGCUCACCUAGGCAAUGAUAGGUAGGCGGCCUUAACGGGUGGUCGCCCACACUGGGAUUGAGAUACGGCCCAGACUCCUACGGGAGGCAGCAGUCGAGAAUAGUCUACAAUGGUCGGAAGACUGAUAGUGCGACGCCGCGUGAACGAUGAAUCCCUUCGGGGUGUAAAGUUCUUUUAUAUGUGAGCAGUGCUUCUUAUAUUAACAGUAUGGGGAGAGAGAUAUUAGCAUAUGAAUAAGCAACGGCUAACUCGUGCCAGCAGCCGCGGUAA